AUUGAACGCUGGCGGCAGGCUUAACACAUGCAAGUCGAGCGGGGUGAUGGUGCUUGCACUAUCACUUAGCGGCGGACGGGUGAGUAAUGCUUAGGAAUCUGCCUAUUAGUGGGGGACAACAUCUCGAAAGGGAUGCUAAUACCGCAUACGUCCUACGGGGGAAAGCAGGGGAUCACUUGUGACGGUGCGCUAAUAGAUGAGCCUAAGUGGGAUUAGCUGGUUGGUGGGGUAAAGGCCUACAAAGGCGACGUUCUGUAGCGGGUCUGAGAGGAUGAUCCGCCACACUGGGACUGAGACACGGCCCAGCCUCCUACGGGAGGCAGCAGUGGGGAAUAUUGGACAAUGGGGGGAACCCUGAUCCAGCCAUGCCGCGUGUGUGAAGAAGGCCUUAUGGUUGUAAAGCACUUUAAGCGAGGAGGAGGCUCUUUUGGUUAAUACCCAGAAUUAGUGGACGUUACUCGCAGAAUAAGCACCGGCUAACUCUGUGCCAGCAGCCGCCGUAAUAC
rnacentral:rRNA from 1 species